rnacentral:rRNA from 1 species
UAACACGUAGGUAAUCUACCUUUGGAUGGGGAAUAACAACCGGAAACGGUUGCUAAUACCGCAUAAUGCAGCGGCACCUAAUGGUGACAGUUGUUAAAGCGGGGGAUCGAAAGACCUCGCGUCUAAAGAGGAGCCUGCGGCGGAUUAGCUAGUUGGUAAGGUAAUGGCUUACCAAGGCUACGAUCCGUAACCGGCCUGAGAGGGCGGUCGGUCACACUGACACUGACAUACGGGUCAG